CCUGGGCAGUUAGUUCAUUUCGGAGUCUGGGCUGCCCUGUCUGCUCUGGGUGGGAUGUUUGAGGUGAAUAAGAGGAAAAGAGUUGAAGAUUCUGGAAGUCUCUUAGAAGUGGCUCUUGAAAGCAGCUGGUAAGGCAGUGUAAAGAGUACUGUGCCUGGAGUUGGGAAAACUGGAAUUCACAAGUGACCUUGGACACUUAUGAGCUAUGUAAACUUCUGUCUGCUGCAAUUUCCUCAACUGUAAAAAUGGAACUACUAGCAUUUUCCUUGCAAGUUAUUGUGAGGAUCAAAUAAGUUUCUGCAUCUGUAAAUUGGGUGAAGAUGGAUGAUUAAAAGAGAUGAUCUCCUUGAAAUUCUUUUAAGUCUAUGAAUCUACUAUUCCUGUAGAAAUGCAUGACAUUCUUAUUCUGUUACCAUCACUUAAUACCUGGAGUUGUGUUAUGUAUCAAAUGUGCAUUUGAAGUAUCCUUUUAGUAUUGAAAGCAAAAUGGAGAAUAUUAUGUUAAAUCUAUACCUGGAGUUCCAUGUCUAGUUUCUGCUGCUUUAUCUCAAAAAGGAUACAAUGAAUAUUUCAUUUAGGGAAAAUCCAAAGAGAGAAAAUUCUAAUAAUACGAAUUAAUAAAUUAACAAAUAAAAAAUCCUGAAGGGCUGAUGGAAAAGUGAUGGUUAAAAAGGGACUUGAUAAAAAUCUAUAAUUGAGAAGUAUAUUUUGCAUAUGCUUAUUUACAUAUAUACUGUCUCUCCUACUAGAAUUUAGAUUACUUAAGUGAAAGGAUAGUUUCAUUUCAGUCACUAUAUAUCCAGUACUACACAUAAUGUAUCUUGCAUAUAGUAGGUUUUUAAAGCAUACUUAUUGAGCAACU